CAGGACAGGCCAAGCCAAGCAAAUCUGGUUGUCUUUUUACCCAUUCAUUUCAGAAAGUAGCCAUCAUCAACCAGGUACAGUGGCUCACACCUAUAAUCCCAGCAUUUUGGAAGGCUGAGGCAGGCUGGUCACUUGAGGCCAGGAGUUCGAGACCAGCCUGGCCACGAUAGUAUAACCCUGUCUCUAUUUAAAAAGAUACAAAAAAUUAGGGGGGCAUGGUGGCGCGUGCCUGUACUCCCAGCUACUAGGGAGGCUGAGGCAGGAGAAUCAUUUGAAAUAGGGAGGUGAAGGUUGAAGUGAGCCGAGAUUGCGCCACUGUACUCCAGUCUGGGCAACAGAGUGAGGCGCCAUCUCAAAAAAAAAAAAAGAAAAGAAAAAGAAAAAAGGAAAAAGAAAAAAAGAGGCCAGGCAUGGUGGCUCACGCCUGUAAUCCCAGCACUUUGGGAGGCCAAGGCAGGCGGAUCCCAAGGUCAGGAGAUCGAGACCAUCCUGGCUAAUACAGUGAAACCCCGUCUCUACUAAAAAUACAAAAAAUUAACUGGGCGUGGUGGCAGGCGCCUGUAGUCCCAGCUACUCAGGAGGCUGAGGCAAGAGAAUGGCGUAAAUCUGGGAGGUGGAGCUUGCAGUGAGCCGAGAUCGCGCCACUGCACUGCAGCCUGGGCGACAGAGCCAGACUCUGUCUUGGAAGGAGGGAGGGAGGGAAGGAAGGGAGGGAGGGAAAUUAGCCACCAUCCUUGGGUCCUCUAGUCCCAAUGUCUCACACCUAAUCCUUCAGGAAUUCCUGUUAAGUUCUAGUUUCAAAGUAUCUCAUGAAUCCAUCCACUUGUCUACUUCUCUUCUGUCCCACUGAAGUUCUAGCCACCAUCCUCUUUUGCCUGGACCAUAGAAAGAGGGUCCUAAUUAGUCUUCCUAAUUCUCUGCUUGUCUCUCAAUCCAUGCUUCACUCAGCAACCAGGGCAAUCUAAUUAAAAUUUAAGUGAGACCACAUUGCAAUCUGGCUUAAAACCUUUGAAUGGCUUUUUGUUGUACCAAGAAUAAAAUCCAAACUUUGUAUCACCAACUACCAGAGCCUCAUCUUCAACUAUCACAUCUCACGUUGCUUCUUUUCCUGUCCUUGCUCCAGCAACCCUGACCAUCUACAGAUUCCUAGAACCCAUCAAGCUCUUUCCCUCCCCAGGCCUUUGUGGCUACCAUUGUCUCCGCCUGGAAUACUUUUUGCCUGGUUCUGUCUCUUCUUCAGGUUUCAGCUUAAUUGUUAUAUCCUUCUCUGACCUCCCACCAUAUCCAAAAUAAGAACUUUCUGUUAUUUUCUAUCACGGUACUUCGUUUACUUCCUUUACAACACCGCUAACAAUUUGUAAUUGUUUUUGUGAAUUUACUCUUUCAUUUUCUGUCUCCUCUACUGGAUUGUCAGCUCCAUGGGGACAGUAACCUGGCUGGCUGGCUCUCCGUUAUGUCCCAGCAUCUAGCAUAGUUUGAGACCAGCCUGGGCAACAUAGCAAAAUCACGUCUCUACAGAAAAAGACAAAAAUUAGCUGGGCGUGGGUGGGCACCUGUAGUCCCAGUUACUUGGGAGGCUGAGGUGGGAGGAUCAUUUGAGACCGGGAAGUUGAGGCUGCAGUGAGCUGAGAUCCUGCCACUGGGGCAACAGAGCCAGACUCCGUCUCAAAAAAAAAAAAAAAAA
ensembl:lncRNA